UCAAGAAACCAUUAAUCUCUCACUGAAGAAGAGAUUAGCUAGAUUAUAUUCAUGGCGCUACUCAAGACAAGCUCCAAGAGUACUCUAGUUUUCACCAUCACAUGGCUCCUAAUUGCACUUGUUGCUACGACUGAAGAUGGUGACACUACUCUAGAUAAGCUCGGAGGACUCUGCGAGAAAGUAGCAAAAGGUCCAUGUACAGAAAAGGGGUGUGGCUCAAUGUGCGCCGUCAUAGGCUUUAAUGGUAUCGGGAACUGCAACGGUCCCUACUGCUGCUGCAACCCAAAAUCCUCCAGGCACAUCGGUGUCCCCUAGCUAGGAACUAGCUUUCAAUUCCUUUUCGAUCUAUCCAAUGUUUGUUAGAACAUUUUUCAUUAAUGAACAAAUAAUAUAUGGUGCGUACGUGAUUGCUACAUGCAUGUCAAGAUGCCAUAUGACCAUUUCCAAUAAUCUUAGAAUAGUCUUUGAUAAGAAAAAUACAACACAUUCUCAAUUUUUGGUAGGCUUGAGGUUCAUACACCUCUUGUUGUCUUUCCUACUCCAUGGCAAUAUAUUUAUGGUGUGUUUGGUUGUGGAGUUGCCUCAUGAUUCAUGUGGUGAUGCAUCAUGAGUUCAUCCCGUUUGGGUGGAAUUAACUCAUUUCUCAUGUAUAUACUAAUUAUUAGCUUAAGAAAGGGGAUGGUGAUGGAUCAACUCAUUUCAUUCCACAAACCAAAUACAAAAAGUAAGAAGUGAGAAAAAAUGGACCACCUCAUUCCUCAAACCAAACACACUAUAAACUAGCAAGUGGCCAAGUUUCCUUCCCUACCAUUUAAGUUGCGUACAAAAAUAUACAACUUUUCCACUAAAUACAUUUUUCACUAUUUCUUAUCCAAGAUCUAGAACACCCCCUAAUUGUACUAAAUAAGUCAAAAUAAGCCAAAAGCAAGAUCCAAGGUGCUCUAAAAAUUGUACUAAAUAAAAGUAGGUACUUCUAAAAAAUAGCUUAUGAAUUCACCCAUUUGGUUGGCUCUCUACUCUUUAGCAGAAGAAGCACUUUCUAGGAAUUGGACUGAAUGCAGCCUGAGUCAUCCUCCUCAUCACAUUGUUUUGUCCUAUUGGCCACAUUACUGCUAUUGUCGACUUUGCUCUCAUUCUCGGCAACACGGCACACACUGCCUAUACUCCUCCUCAUUGACAUGCCAUAGCCACUGCCAUCGUCUUGAUGGAUGCUAUGUGAGGCAGACAAACAAGUCAUGUGUUUGGUCUUGUGUGAUUCUUGGAGAUUGAUAGAUCAAAGGGGGUGAGGCCAUGGGGCACAAAGAGGGUGGAACAACAAUGUGUGCAGAGGCACCAAAGAGUCCACUUAUUGGUGACAAAAAACACUCUAGGCAGGGCAAUCUAGUAAUGCAGAAAUGCUAAACCUUUGUUCUUUUUAGGCCAGUCUCAAUGAGGAGUUUCAUAUUCUAGUUUCCAGCACAUCUGAUUUUGGAAACAGUGCAGAAGAGUUUCAUACGGAUGAAACUCUCUCUGCUCCCAUAAAACUCUUACCACCUCUCACUUCAUUAAUACAGUGCCACAUCAGCAUAUUUAAUACCCAUGAAACUCUGAUGAAAAUCACAUUUAGACUAGCCUUAGGAGUAGAUUUAUAGAACAUGAACAAACUAUUUCUAUAGUAGUGUUCCAAGUUGGCCAUUGACCUUCAUUAAGUAACAUGUAAUCACUAUAACAAAACCACAAAACACUGUCAGUCUCAAGUUCGCCAUCACUGUCAGUUAUGCCAACUAGACAAGCAGCAAUUGUAGCAUUGACUAUCUUUGCUGGUUGAACUGUAAGCUACAAUCCAGUAGUAUUACCUAUUUCACAAAAUAAAAAAAUAUAAAUAGCCCACCUGCACACUGUGCCCACCACAACCAUGCACUACCAAGUCUGCCACCUGUCGCACUUGUCGUUGAUGGCUACUAGGUCAUAGACUGCCAUGCUCGUUGUCAUUGGGUGUUAUGCCGCACACCCCGCCUUGUUUCUAUUGCAACCACAGCCACCUCCAUUGUGCCAUAGUGCCGCCCAUGCAUUGAAGCCACAGAGCAGUCUGUCGCCCAUAGCCACACCAUGCGCCAAGCAUUGCCAUUGCCUCCCAUGCAAUUCCAACCGCCACCCGCCCCGCUCCCACAGCAGCCAUGCCAUGUGCCCACAACAUUUGUCAUCAUCAGAGAGGGUACAAGGGGGGCUAGUGAGGCAGAUAGGGAAGAUAGGAUGCUGCACGACAAAGGGGAGAGGGAGUGCAGAUCAGUUGAGGGGGAGGGGGAGAGAGGUAUGGGGAAAACAGGUCAGGCAAAGGCUUGGAUCAAAUUCUGGGUCUAUUGUCCUGAUCACUCGGCUAGCAAAUUUGAAAAUCCAACAAUGAUACUACUAGUGUUGGUUUUUAACUACAACAACUGAUAGUUAUAUUUUUUUCUUGAAUACAUAGGAGAUUUGCAUAUCAUUGCAUUGUAGAGAGAAAAGGAUCGACCCCUUACAAACACCACCACCUCACUCUGGACCAGGCUAUGAGUCAUUAUUUCCUUACAUCAAAAAACUUAAACUAAAAGAACUAAGAAAGGGGUGAUCCCUUACAACAAAAACACCAUCCAGCUAAACUAAGGUAGGGUAUCCAAGCCCAACACCAUGACCUAGACCAAGCAUGCACAAGCCGCGCGCACCCACCAAACACCAAAGGUGAUGCUCGCCUCUGAACUCUUUGAGAAGCCUAGUAAUCGAGGGGUGAGACCCUUAAAGAAACAAGCAUUAUGGUGCUUCCAAAGGAUCUAGGAACUUAGAAUGAUAAUUAUGUUCAACCCCUUCUUCUCCUUUGGAAUUCUCUUGGUUACUUUUCACCACCAAUCAGCCUGUGAUUUUUCUUGCCUUAUGGGAGUCUGAUCUUGUAGUCCUAAAGGAGUCAAGAUCCGUGACCAAAAUUCUCAAGCGAGGACACAUGUAGUAGUAAGUAGAUGCUGGACUGUCUCAUCUUCCUAAGCACACAAGGGGUAGUGGCUCGGAUGAGGUAAACCUCUCUUGGAUAAUCGGUCUGCCGUCCAGCACCUAUUUUGGAUUGCUAACCAUAAAAAUAAUUUGCACUUUACUGGUGCCCAGGAUUUCCAUAGACAUCGCCAAGGCACAAACUUGAUGGAGCCAUUGAAGAAUGCUCAAUAUAUGCAGAUUUUGAGCUAAGCUGGCCUGACCCUUCCAGUCUCGAAAUAUUGACAUUGUCAUCCUGAGAGAGGGUUGUCUCAUGCAGAAUCUCCCAUAAUUGAAAAUAUUCAAAGAGACCCACCAAUGAGUGACCCCACGUCAGUAGGCCAAGUAUGAUUCUAGAGGGUGUCAGCCAUCGUGCGUUGUUUGCAAGUAUGAGAUGGAACUGCAGCAACUACCGCUGGUGCCAAGUCCAUCAAACAACAACCCAUGAGCCACUUAUCCUUCCAAAAUAAAGUAUUUCUUCCAUUACUAACCUUAAAUUCCAAUGCAAUUUUGAAAAGAGCUACAACAUUUGGACAAAUAUGUAUGACAUUAAGGCCAGUCCAUGCUCGAUUGCGAUCUGUUUUCUUGAACCAUAGCCAACAGAUUUGAAGUGCCCAACUCAUGAACUCAAGGUUCAAUAUCCCAAGUCCGCCCAAAUCAAGGGGUCACUAGACCUUACCCCAAGCAACCACGCAAGCACCACCAUACACUUGGCCUCUCCCUUUCCACACAAAGGCUCUUCUUAUCUUAUCAAUGGUCAUAAAAAACAUUUGGGCACCUUAAUCGCUAUCAAGACAUAGAUAGGAAUAACUGAAAGGACGAAGCAGACCCAAGUAACUCUCCCAGCCAUGUUCAUGAGAGCAGCAUUCCACUAGGGAGUUUGUCAGUAAUCUUCUCAAUCCAUUUGAGUAGCUCUGCCUUUCCUAUUUUUCUAGUUGAGACUGGUAGACCCAAAGAAGUGCAAGGGAAGUCUACUAGCGCACAUGGAAGAGUAGAUGUCACAGGCUCCAUUUGUGUCGACUCACAUCGAAUAGGUGUAACACAACUUUUUUUACAAAUUUGUUUGAAGACCAGAUGCCUCCCCAAACUUGUCUAGGAUGCUCACAGUGAGGUUCAUCUCUGCCUCUUGUGGCCAAGUGAAUAGGACAACAUCGUCAGCAUAAAGAGGGAUGCGCUGACUGGGACUUCCUCGAGACAGUGGUUGUAGCAGCUCCAAAUCUCCCGCCUUGGAAAAUAAACUAUUGAGCACGUCCAUCAUGAGAAUAAACAACAUCAGGGGAGAAGGGGUCAACUUGUUGAAAACCUCACUGGUGUCUAAUUUCUGGACCUGGUUCACCAUUAAGAAGCACCCUAGCGAAGGUCGUGGAAAGCAAGUUAGCAACAAGGUUAUAGCAAAGUUGACCGAAACCCAAAUGAGUGAGGACUUCUAGUAAAAAGGACCAAGAUUCUGAGUCGAAAGCUUUAGAAAUAUCUAGCUUUAGAAAGAGGCUCGAGACUUGUCAAUGAUGGAGGAGUUUAAUUGUUUGCUGCACCAAUAUAUAGUUAUAAUGAAUACACCAUCCUCGAACGAAAGCACUUUGGUUAGCAGCUACCAAAUCAUUUAAUAGAGGAGCCAAACGGUUUGCCAUGAUUUUUGUCACUAGCUUCGCAAAGCUAUGGAUGAGGCUUAUCGGACAAAAAUCCUUGGGAUGCAGAGCCUCAGCUUUCUUUGGAAUAAGAGUGAGAUAUGCUGAAUUAAGAAGCCAUAAUUUACUUACAUCUCCCUGCAGUACCAUGAUGGCUACCAUGAAAUAUGCCUUUAUCAACUGCCAACAUGAUUUAAAGAACUGACCUGUAUAUCUAUCCAGACCGGGUGCUCUAUCCGCUAGCAAAGAUCACUACUACAAAAAAACUUAAUAGAGGCGGGCAAAAUCGAUUAACGGAGGCGGUCUUGCCAACCGCCUCCAAUGAAAGGUCACGAUUAAUCCAACCUUAACGGAGGCGGUUGGCUCCACUACCUUAGUUAAUCAAUUAUCCGAGGUGGUCGUUAUAACGCAACCACCUCGGUUAAUACCAUUAAUGGAGAUGGUUACACUAAGCAGCUGAUGAGGACAUGACACAUUCAGAUAUAACUAUUGAUUAUAAGGUGAGAUCAUUCAUAUAUUUAUAUAAUGAUUUUUGAUACAAUUCACUUGGUUCCACAUGUACAUGUCACUAUUUGAUUGUAGCGCAUGUACAUGUCACUAUUUGAUUGUAGAUUCAAAUAUUUCUCAAAGUGCAAGUCAUCAAAGUUGAACUUUCGAUACGUCGGCAGUCUCAUAGUUCUUUAUUGGGAAGGCCAUAACUCAUCCAUCCGGAAUGAGAUUGAGGUCAAUGAGCACUUGAUAGAAAGCUUGUUUGAUAAGCUUUCGAAUAGAUCCAGUUCUACCUCAAUAUCACAUCGGCUAGGCUUUCAAAUUGUUAUUAUAUUCUAUCGCUGUUUCUGCCAAGAGCUACUUUAUCAUCAUGGACAUGUUUUUUAUCCUUUGGACCCUAGCCCAAGUGGGAGCACAUCCCAAGGAGAAGAAGAAGCCACCAAGGGAGCCCUCGGACGUCCUCCUCCUUGGCCACCAUCUGAAAAGGUCAGCAAGGUCCUUCAUGCCAAGUCAGAGGCCCAAUCCAUAUCAUGUUCGAGUCCAUCUCAUUCUCCAGGACCACCAUGUAGUAAAACGGAUGCCCAGAACACAACCGGACUUCGUUUUUGAUGAUCCACAUAUGGAUGGAAAGAUAAUUUCAUAAGCUAACCAAUGGCUUUAGUUUGAGGCCCAAAUUCUAUCGGAGUAAACAGGAAUCGUUGAAACAAGUUGACGUCCAGAAUCUGUCACGGCGUUGCGUUGCCGUUUAUUUGGGCUGUUGGGCCUUGUAACGUGUUAGGGCACCGAUCUUCCGAAAGGUUCUGGUAACUCUCGAUUUGGUGGAAAUGAGACACAAAUCAAUUCGGCUUCCGAACAACACGAUCUGAAACCCUACAAUCGCAUCACCACAUCUCCUCUGGUUAUCAACCGGCGCUGCGCGGUGGACCUCACCAAGAAGGCUAAGUCCUUUGCCUGCGAAUCGAAGAACACAAGCAAGAACAAGGAAGAAUGCAAACAAUUUGCAGAUGAAAGAUUAAUCUCACGAUUUGGGGUCUCACAAACGGAUAACAGUGAAACUGUUCUUAAGAGAAUAAUCUAAGCAAAACCCAAACCCUAAUAUAGGUGGCAGCUUCUAAUUAUAUAGCCUAAGGGACGUCUAAGGACCCCUCUUCAUGUCCAUAAGGUUCCCUAACACGUUACAAGGCCGAACAGCCCAAAAGACAGCGACGCAGCGCCCCGACAGAUUCUGAACGUCAACUUGUUUCGACGAUUCCCAUUGACUCCGAUGGAAUUUGGGCCUCAAACCAAAGCCAUUGGUUAGCUUAUGAAAUUAUCUUUCCAUCUAUAUGUGGAUCAUCAAAAAAAAGGAGUCCAGAUGUGUUCUGGGCAUCCAUUUUACUGCAUGCUGGUCCUGGAGCCCGAGAUGGACUCGAACUUGAUAUGGAUUAGGCCUCUGACUUGACUUGAACGACCUUGCUAACCUUUUAAGGUGGUGGCCAAGGAGGAGGACGUCCAAGGGCUUCCUUGGUGGCUUCUCCUUCUCCUUGGGAUAUGCUCCCACUUGGGCCAGGGUCCCAAAGAUAAUAAAAAACAUGCCCAUGAUGAUAAAGUAGCUCUCGACAGAAACAACGAUAGAAUAUAAUAACAAUUUUAACACCUUGCCGAUGUGAUAUUGAGGUGGAACCAGAUCUAUUCGAAAGCUUAUCAAACAAGCUUUCCAUCAAGUGCUCAUUGACCUCAAUCUCAUUCCAGAUGGAUGAGUUAUGGCCUUUCCAAUAAAGAACUAUCGAGCUGCUAACGUAUCGAAAGUUCAACUUUAAUGGACUUGCACUUUAAGACAUAUUUGGAUCUACAAUCAAAUAAUGACAUGUACAUGUGGAACCAAGUAAAUUCUACCAAAAAUCAUUAUAUAAAUAUAUAAAUGAUCUCACCUUAUAAUCAAUAGUUAUAUCCGAAUGUGUCAUGCCCUCAUGAGCAGCCUGCCUUGGUUAAUAGAUUAAAAAAUAAAAAACAUCAAGGAGCCCCACGAGCCCAUCCAUGAGGCCCACUGAGCCCAUCGACGCCUUGCGCCAUCGCUUGUUGGAUCUGCUACCACCCCGAGAAGCACUAUUGGGGCUGUACACCUACUUGCCAAGCAUCUGCUCGCCCUGAUAAGCACUGUUGGGGCCGCGCACCUUCUUGCCACGAGCCCAUCCAUGAGGGCCCUAGCUCGGGGCGCCGUCAUGAGCCGCUGUCGGGCACCGCACCAUCAUGAGCCAGGUUGUUGUCGUGAGCCACCACCAAAGGUGACAGAGCCGCUGCCAUGGGGGAUUGGCUCCUGCUCAAUGCGCCCUAACGAGCCACCGCCGAGACCGUGCACCUGCACGCCACACCCUAGGGAGCCGCUGCCAGGGCUAGGCCCCGCUCGCUAUGGUCUAGGGAGCUGCCGCAGGGGCUGAGCAGCUGUUGCCGAGGUGGAGGUGGAGGCGCUGCCGUGCUAGAGAUGGAGGUGAUUGGCUAGAGUUGGAGGUCGAGGGCUCGCCGGAGUUGAGGGAGAAGGGUCAGAGAGAGAGAGCGCACGCGUUGAGAGUGGGCACGACCUUCAUACGAGAGAGAGAGGAGCUGCUCGGGUGUUCAAAUAGGGGCAAGAUAUUUCUCAUUUCAUCUGGUGUUCUAUCCAUAUCUUGUAGGGUCCGCUCGUUAUACUCAAUGAGGAAGCACAAAAACAUCAAUGAUGGACAUGUCUCUACGCGGCGUCCUAUCCAGCCAUCCAUAAGUCCACGUCAACAAUUCGAGACUCCUGCACAGCUGUGCACGUACAGAACCCAGAAUGGACGAGCACGGUUUCCCAUGGGUGCAGUCUGUGUGCUAAAAUCUGUGUGGUCAGAUGUGUGGCAGUUAUUGUGUAUCCAUUGAUAUUGCGCCACAUGUUAGAGAUUUCUCAAAAUAGAAGGCACAUCCAGUGGUUUUUUGAAUCCAUGCAGGGAACCAUGCACAACAUACAGUCCAGACGUUGAUUUUUGGAAAGGUGUGUGGCAGAGAGGAAACAGGUAGGGCCAGGCGCACAUGGUGCACACUGAUUUGAUUUUUGGAAGUGGACGUCUAUAAUUUUACCGUGACAAUUACUUUUGACCGUCUCUAUUAAUCUAUUAACCGAGACGGUUGCAUUAGGACAACCGCCUCGGUCAGUAGGCAUUAACCGAGACAGUUUUUUUUUUAUAUUGUCACCUUGGUUAAUACAUUUUAGGAGGCGGGUAGUUCUAACCGCCUCGGUUAAUAAAAAAUAACCACAUCGGUUAAUCAGGGCAUUCACCGAGGCAGUUCAAAAAAUUGCUUGCCUUCGAGGCUGUUUUGGAAAGGUCACUGAAAAUAUUUUAUGUAGUAGUGGACUUUUAUUGUAUCCCACACUUCCUCUUAUGAAAUUGCUGCAUCCAAUGCCGAGAGAUCGACUCCCUCCCUAUGGAUGAAAUUGAGGUCAAGAGAAGCACGGUGCAAGGCAGAACCUAACAGACCAUCAAGAGUGUAGGCACGGGGCAAGGCAGAACCUAACAGGUCAAGAAAUCGACUCUCUCUGCUUGUCUUCUUGGCUGGUGACAACCUGGUACUUAAUUUUUUCCUUUUGCGGAAUCCUGCUUGCCCAUGGAAAAGAGCUGUGUUGGCAUUUCCAUCUUUCAAGAACCAGAUGUGUUACCGAAGGCAAGCGAUCAUCCUCUCAAGGGAAGCCAAAGAGCUACUCCCUCCGUCCCAAAUUAUAAGUCAUUCAAAGAAUCUUGGAGAGUCAGUUUUUCAAGUUUGACCAAAUUUAUAUAGCAAAAUAAUAAUAUUUUUGGUACCAACCAAAUAUCAUUAGAUUUUUGGUACCAACCAAGUAUCAUUAGAUUCUUUGUUAGUUAUAUUUUCAUAGUGUACCUAUUUUAUGACAUAAAUCUUUAUAUUUUUCUCUUUAUUUUUGGUCAAACUUGAAAAUGCUUUGAUUCUCAAAGAUUCUUGGAAUGACUUAUAAUUUGGAACGGAGGGAGUAUAUAUCAUUGUUGGUGGAUUUAUAAAACCGAUAGUGAUGCUCAUUCCCCUUAUAAACAGAUAUAUAACCACUGUCAAAUUUGAUGGAAGUGAUAAUACCAAGAGUGUUAUGCAUUUCUGAGUAGUGAAUGAUAAUGCUUUUACCAAUGUUUUGCAUAUGAAAUUUAGACUCUGGAUACAUAUGUGUUUGUGAUUAGGAAUGCUAAGACUGACUAGUUAGGAUCAGCAUCAUAUUUAGGGUCCAUUUGGUGGGGCUAUGGCUCUGGCUUCUCACAUGGAGCAGCUUCUCUGGUGGAGCUGAAGCCAUUUUAGUAAACAUUUGGCAAAAAUAGCUCUAGUGGUAGUUUUAUAAUAAUUUGUAUUAGAUUUGUGAAGGAGUCAAGCGAAGCCACAUUUGUGUGGCUUUGGCUCCUCUAGACAUAAAUGGCUUGGGCUUCUCGGGCUCAUUGCAAGAAACCGCUUUUAAUGGCCAAUUAACAAAGCUCCUUGUAAGGAGCCGUGAGAAACCGGAGCUAGAACCCUGCUAAAUCAGACCUUAAUUCUGCCAUAGUGAUAUAGUAGUAGCAUUAGCAACCAAUAAAUGCAUAUGAAAUUUGGACUCUAGAUAAAUAUUUGUGAUGAGGAAUGCUAAGAUUGACUGAUUAGGAUGAGGAUAAUAUUUGAUGCAGCCAUACUCAUAUAGGAGUAGUAUUAGCAGCCAACAAAUGCACCUAGAGACAUGAUACAUUAGUUAGCAGCGAAUAAAUGCAAACCUAUAUCAGAUAAGUGUGCACCAAAUGUUUUGGUUUCAAUAUGGUAGAAAUUGACUGUCUAUGAUUAAUUUGCUUGUGGCUUCGGUCUAUAUAAGGAAGGACCCCGGACCAUGAAAGAGCAUCAAGAAACCAUUGAUCUCUCAGUACAGAAGAGUAGUUUAGCUAGAUUCAUGGCGCUACUCAAGACAAUCUCCAAGGGUGCUCUGGUUUUUGCCGUCACAUGGCUCCUGAUUGCUGCAGUCCUUGCAGCAGCUGAAGAUGGUGCUACUCAAGUUAAUCUCGAAGGGGCCUGCGAGAAAGUAGCAAAAGGUCCCUGUACAGAUAAGGUGUGCGGCGGAAUGUGCGCCGUCGUAGGCUCCAGUGGUAAGGGGUCAUGCAACGGCCCCUACUGCUGUUGCAACCCAAAAUCCUCCAGGCACAUCGGUGUCCCCUAGCUAGGAACUAGCUUUCAUUUUUUGAUCCGCCUUAUGAUUGUUAGAACAUUUUUCAUUGAGAAAUAAAUAUGUAUGGUGCAUGCUUGUUACAUGCAUGCCAAGAUGCUAGAAAAUAUCAUUUGCAGUACAUCUUACAACAGUCUUUGGUCAAAAUACCACACAUUCUCAAUUUUUGAUACGUUUGAAGGUUCA
rnacentral:lncRNA from 1 species